CUUCUUUUUAGCCACGAAGAAGAUCAAAAUUAUGUCAUUUGUAGAAAACUGGAUGUAACUGUAGGUAGUCCUAUUAAGACAAUAAAGCCAGCCUCAGAAAGAGAAAUGCAUUUUCUCAUUCACAGAGUUUAGAUUUUUUUACAGAUAUAUAAGCUAUAUUGUAGAGUGUAGAUUGUUGUCUAUGUGCAGGCGAGGGCAGGCACAAGCUAAGGCUAGAGCCUGUGAUUGGACAGUGGAAAAAGAAGGCAGGCUGAGAGUUUUAGAGAUGGGACAGAUAGGGACAGAGAGGACAGAAAGACAGAAGAUGGAGGAAGAAGGGGACAAACUGGAUCCGCCUGGCUUUGAAUAGCCACAGGGGCGUCUCGAAAUGAGUACCACUCACCAAGGGUGGAGGUCUUGCAUUUGGGGGACUCCCCCCCCCCCAAGCGACUACCGACUAGACUGAUAGGAGGCAAAAAAAGACCAAGCUUAGCAACAGGCGCCUACUUGUCCUGGCCAUGAUGGAGAAGAACCCUAUAGAGACCAACAAGUCUGUAAAGAAGAACAUCCUCCAGGACCCCUCCACAGCAGAUCUGCUGCUGAUGGAUCCUCCACUCCCUUACCGUCCUACCAUAGCCCCAGCUCCCAUGGCCCCUUCUCAAGGAUCUCCCUUGAGCUCUUGUCCAUCAUGCCUUUACCACCCCCUUCCUCCGGUCCUAGCAAGGGGGAGGGAGGGUGGGGAGGGACCCUUGGAACUGGGAAGGGCCAUGGGGACCCAGAACAAAAGGGCCACUUCACCUGAUACAACAGUGGCCCUCCCCCUCUGAGCCCAUAGAUGAGAAUGGCAAUCAGGCCAUGCAAUCAAUAUUGGCCUUUCUCUUCGGCCAACUCGUACAACUGGAAGGUCCAACACCCCCUUUUAAGAUAACCCAAAGGGGCUGAUUAAUCUCUUUGAGACUGUUUUAUUUACUCCUCAGCCCACCUGGGAUGCUAUCCAACCACUCAUGGGAGUGUUCUUCACCACUGAGGUGAGAGAAAGGAUCCUCAAUGAGGCCCGAAAAAACAAAAGUGUCCUUGGACAUGGGGGCUCCUCGAAAACCCAGCAGUCAUUGAUGCAGGAUUCCCUUUAACCCAACCUGAUUGGGACUUUAAUUCAGCCAAAGUGUUUUUUAGUUCUUCAAGACCAAAUUCAAGCCUUUAACACCAUCAUUAAGGAGGUUGUGCAAUGGAUGACAAAUUUGAACUUAGCCUGAGCUAUGAUACCAAGAUGUUGUCUGGAAAAGAACUUAUCCAAAUUCAAAGCUCUGUCACUCUCUCCAAAUAAGUUCAUGUCAUGACAUGCACACUCACUUUCAGGUUUUCAGUUUUACUUCAAUAAUUGACAUGAAUGAUAGCAAACUCAAUUGGAGGACUCAGCUCACAGUCAGAAGGAGUAGUCUAAGGAUGUGGAGACUCUUGAUGACUCUGUAUCCUAGCACACAGAUAUUGGAAGAUGUUCAUUACUGCUCCAGAGACAAUAGCUGGGAAAUGCAAUCAGCCUGGAUGCAUGUCAGAUGAUAAAUGGAGAAUGAAAAUGUGCCACAGAGGCACAAUGGAACUGGAUUCAUGCAUAAGGUCAAACUGGGAUCAGAAGAGCAACAGACCCAGGAUGGGCAGGUGAUAAGGAGGUUUGCUGCUGACUGGCUGUUGGGUUGGGUGCUCUGUGGUGCAGAAGACAGAGAAGGGCCUUUCUGUGAACAACCUCUGAGUGAAAUCAGCCAUAACAGAACUACUCGGUACCAGGAGAUUACCUUUGAUACCACAAGGUAAACAAUAAAAGCUGAGAGUCCUUCUCAGACUAAUGAAGCUGAGCUGUAAAGAAGACUCAGUGGCCAACGGGCUUCCCAGAAGAAGCAGAAACCCAGCGAGAUACCUGGAAGAGCCUUAGACCAGAAUCACUUGUAAAAGACACUCUUUGAGCUGUUCCAGUUUCUCAGCUUUUGGGGGCUGUCACUCAUGCAGUGGUGGGCCUUGGCGAUGCAGUUGCCUUUGAGUAUUUCCUGCUGCUGUUAAACUACCCACUAGAAAAAGGAAGAAAGUAAUCUUCUUGAAACAAACCCAAAAGAAGAGAGCCACACAAACAUAAUUCCACCUCUAACAACAAAAUGACAGGAAAUAACAAUCAUUAUUCCUUAAUAUCUCUUAGUAUCAAUGGACUCAAUUUCCCAUUAAAAAGACAUAGACUAACAGACUGGAUACAGAAACGGGACCCAGCAUUUUGCUGCAUACAGGAAACAUACUUCAGUGACAAAGACAGCCACUACCUCAGAGUAAAAGGCUAGGAAACAAUUUUCCAAGCAAAGGUCCCAAGAAACAAGCUGGAAUAGCCAUUCUAAUAUCCAGUAAAAUUGACUUUCAACCAAAAGUUAUCAAAAAAGAUAAGGAAGGACACUUCAGAUUCAUCAAGGGAAAAAUCCACCAAGAUGAACUCUCAAUCCUGAAUAUCUAUGCUCCAAAUGCAAGGGCACUUACAUUCAUAAAAGAAACCUUACUAAAGCUCAAAGUACACACUGCACCUCACACAAUAAUAGUGGGAGACUUCAACACCCCACUUUCAGCAGUGAACAGAUCAUGGAAACAGAAACUAAACAGAGACACGGUGAAACUGACAGAAGUUAUGAACCAAAUAAAUUUAACAGAAAUCUAUGGAACAUUUCAUCCUAAAACAAAAGAAUAUACCUCCUCAGUACCUCAUGUUACCUUCUCCAAAACUGACCAUGUAAUCAGUCAUAAAACAGGCCUCAGCAGAUAUAAGAAGAUUGAAAUAAUCCCAUGCAUCUUAUCAGAUCACCGUGGGCUAAGGCUGGUCUUCAAUAACAACAAAAAUGACACAAAGCCCACAUAUACAUGGAAGCUGAACAAUGCUCUACUCAAUGAUAACUC